UCGUGCAUGGGCUACAAAACAUUUACACAAAAGAGAUUCUCCGAUUGAAGCAACAACGAAGACUAAUCAUCCUCCUCUCUUCAAUCCAGGGGUUUCCUUCUCCUUCUCCUCCAGCUUCAAAGGGCUGGUGAGUAUUAGAUUAUCGGAUUGCUUUCCUUUUUGAAUCUGUCUCUCUGCUCCUCGAAAUCCGUCGUGUUAUUAGCUCGUAAAGUCAUUUUCCGGGAAUCGAACUCGCGAUUCCUUAGUUCCUGCUCACUAUUCUUACUUCAACGACGGUGUUCUCUUUUUGUCUAUUUACUUUUAAUCGGAUUAAGCUGUUUGAUAAAUCUUUGUUUCUGAGUGAUGGGUUUAUUGCAAUGGGCUCAUAAUUAGAUUUUUCAUUUUUUUUUUUGUUUUUGAUGAAUCUCUUAGACUAAUAACUUCAUUUUUUGAACUUUGUUUUGGUUAAAACCUGAAUUGAAGCAAUGGAUGCUUUGACAAGGAUGAAUCAUUGGUGAAUGCCAGCUCCAGGAGUAUCGGUGUCUCUCUUAUGUAAUUUG
rnacentral:lncRNA from 1 species